UACGAAGGGGGCUAGCGUUGCUCGGAAUCACUGGGCGUAAAGCGCACGUAGGCGGAUUGCUAAGUCAGGGUGAAAUCCUGGAGCUCAACUCCAGAACUGCCUUUGAUACUGGCGACCUUGAGUCCGGGAGAGGUGAGUGGAACUGCGAGUGUAGAGGUGAAAUUCGUAGAUAUUCGCAAGAACACCAGUGGCGAAGGCGGCUUGCCAGAACGCGCUCGACGGUGAGGGAUGAAAGCUG
rnacentral:rRNA from 1 species